GUGAAUGUUAUUUUUAAUGAAAGUGGUACAUUUUGACUCACGAUGUUGAAACCAGAUUAUAAAUGAGUCAUCGGUGAAUCAACCACAAGGAGCCUUUAUGAAGGUGAUUUACAGGAGGACUCUGACGUCUGCUGUCCCUUCACACGCUUCGCAGAGAUGCUGUCAGGCUUGGAGUUGGUCUGGGGCAUCUGCUGCCGAGUCAGCUCAAAAGGAUGCUGUGUUGUCACCAGUGGGAUUCCCCAGCCAGCCGGCACUGCGGUCCCACCCACAGAACUAAGGCAGCCAUCACUGAACAAUGCUUGUGGUUACAUCAUAGCUGCUGGCUUCCAGGUAGUGACUAGUAGAUACUGGGGAGAGUCACAGGCCAUCUGUUGCUCCCUGCUCCCAGACUCUUCCCUAAUGCCCACAUCCCCUCACCUGGUCAUCAAGAGGCUCAGUAGGAGGGCAGAAAAGUGAGACUUAAAGGAACCUUGCAAGGUUCUCGUGGGACCGUGCGAGUGAAAGUGUCUUGGAGACUGUCACAGGCCAUACCAAGAAAACAGGAAAUGGAGGCCAGAGGGUAAAUCCACACGCAAGUAUACUCUGGCUCCCCAGCCAACAGGGAGGCUGCCCAGCGGCCGAUUUAUAGUCCCAGACUCUCCAGGACAUUAUCCGAAUUUAGCAGAAGUAACAAUGUGUGACUUCCAAAGCCAGCCCUUGCAGCUUCCACUUUCGCCCUCUGGAACUGCUGCCCUGGGGCCACCAUGCGAGGAAGCUGCUAGCCUGCUGGAAUAGGGGAGGCCACAUGGAGGAGAAGUGAGAUCCCCAACUUGACCGCCAGCACCAGCUGCCAGACUGUCAGAGAGGCCAUCCUGAGAUGACCUUCUAGCCCAGAUUCUGUGGAUCCGGAAUUUGGACAGAGAACAGAGAGGAUGACUUAUGUCUGCGCUACAACGUCUGGGGCCUCAACAGAAAAGACUCAAAGGCUGGGGUGACUCGACAGCUAGGGUUUAGAAUCAUGUGAAUGCUUGUUCACUCAUAUAUCUGGCAUCUGAUACAGACUAGGACUGCAGACCCAUGGUCUACAUGUGGCCUCUCCAUGUGGCUUGGCUUCCCCACAGCAAGGCAGCCACAGGAUAGUCAGACUUCUUCCUUGGUUACAGAACCCAAAAGCAUUGUCCCAGCAAACAAGACAGAGCAGCAGUGGCUUUUGUGACCCAGCUUCAGAAGUGGCACAGCAUCACUUCUCUCCUACUUUACACUGGUCAAAGUAGCCUCAAGUCUGUGAGGAGGAGGGAUGAGACUCUGUCUCUUAAUGGGAAAGGAAUCAAAGAAUUUUGAGGGUAUGUUCUGUCACAUUGCCCGAGACAUAGUCUCAGCGUUGAGCUAUUCUUCCUAAGCCUGUUACCAGCUGCCUGUUGAAAGAAUUGAUUGUCUCCUUAAUGUUCCUCUGUUGACCUGUGAAUGUCUUGCUGCAUCUCCCCCUACCCCUAACUAUCUGAAUUCUCAGCUGCUCCACUAUAUAUCAAGAAGUCUUCACUUGAUAUAAGAUCCUGACUCCCGAAAUGGAGUACACAGGAUCUCCC
rnacentral:lncRNA from 1 species